CAGUAGCCGCGGUAAUACGGAGGGAGCUAGCGUUGUUCGGAAUUACUGGGCGUAAAGCGCACGUAGGCGGUUAUUCAAGCCAGAGGUGAAAGCCCGGGGCUCAACCCCGGAACUGCCUUUGAAACUAGAUGACUGGAAUCUUGGAGAGGUCAGUGGAAUUCCGAGUGUAGAGGUGAAAUUCGUAGAUAUUCGGAAGAACACCAGUGGCGAAGGCGACUGACUGGACAAGUAUUGACGCUGAGGUGCGAAAGCGUGGGGAGCAAACAGGAUUAGAUACCCGGGUAGUCCCUGUCUCUUAUAC
rnacentral:rRNA from 1 species